rnacentral:rRNA from 1 species
CCUACGGGGGGCAGCAGUGGGGAAUAUUGGACAAUGGGGGGAACCCUGAUCCAGCCAUGCCGCGUGUGUGAAGAAGGCCCUCGGGUUGUAAAGCACUUUCAGUGAGGAAGAACGCCUGGUGGUUAAUACCCAUCAGGAAAGACAUCACUCACAGAAGAAGCACCGGCUAACUCCGUGCCAGCAGCCGCGGUAAUACGGAGGGUGCGAGCGUUAAUCGGAAUUACUGGGCGUAAAGCGCGCGUAGGUGGCUUGAUAAGCCGGUUGUGAAAGCCCCGGGCUCAACCUGGGAACGGCAUCCGGAACUGUCAAGCUAGAGUGCAGGAGAGGAAGGUAGAAUUCCCGGUGUAGCGGUGAAAUGCGUAGAGAUCGGGAGGAAUACCAGUGGCGAAGGCGGUCUUCUGGACUGACACUGACACUGAGGUGCGAAAGCGUGGGUAGCAAACAGGAUUAGAUACCCCUGUAGUC